CCUCCAUUCUUGGCAUGCUCGCGUUUGUAAUACUCGUGUGUGUAUGUUAUGGAGGGAGACUAGACCCAGUGCAAUGUCUUCGGUACCAGCAUGUUUCCCAUCGGCUGGUUCUAUCCUCAAUCACUGGAACACGC